GGGCUCAUGGUCUAGCGGUUAUGACAUCGCCCUUACAAGGCGGGAGUCGCAGGUUCAAUUCCUGCUGGGCCCA
rnacentral:tRNA from 1 species